rnacentral:rRNA from 1 species
CGCAAUGGGCGAAAGCCUGACGGAGCAAUACCGCGUGAGGGAAGACGGCCUAUGGGUUGUAAACCUCUUUUUUCAGGGAGGAAUUUUGACGUGUACCUGAAGAAUAAGCAUCGGCUAACUCCGUGCCAGCAGCCGCGGUAAGACGGAGGAUGCAAGUGUUAUCCGGAAUCACUGGGCGUAAAGCGUCUGUAGGUGGUUAAGCAAGUCAACUGUUAAAUCUUGAGGCUCAACUUCAAAAUCGCAGUCGAAACUGCUUGACUAGAGUAUAGUAGGGGUAAAGGGAAUUUCCAGUGGAGCGGUGAAAUGCGUAGAUAUUGGAAAGAACACCGAUGGCGAAGGCACUUUACUGGGCUAUUACUGACACUCAGAGACGAAAGCUAGGGUAGCAAAUGGGAUUAGAUACCCCAGUAGUCUUAGCCGUAAACGAUGGAUACUAGAUGUUGUACAGAUCGACUGUACAUCAUUACGGUUAAAGCCCUGAGUUUUCCACCUGGGAAGUAGCGCGCCAGAGUGAAACUCAAAGGAAUUGGCGGGGGCCCGCACAAGCGGU